rnacentral:rRNA from 1 species
UAACGCGUGAGGAACCUGCCUUGAAGAGGGGGACAACAGUUGGAAACGACUGCUAAUACCGCAUGAAGCAUAGGGGUCGCAUGAUCUUUAUGCCAAAGAUUUAUCGCUUCAAGAUGGCCUCGCGUCUGAUUAGCUAGUUGGCGGGGUAACGGCCCACCAAGGCGACGAUCAGUAGCCGGACUGAGAGGUUGAACGGCCACAUUGGGACUGAGAUACGGCCCAG